CAGAGCUUCGGGAGAGGGAGGGCACCACACGUCCUGCUGACUGCUGAGCACCAGGUAGUGACACUCAGGUCCGGCCUGCACGACGCCUAUACACUGUGAGCCUGCCCCCCGAGGGCUGGGCCCCCCCUCCAGAGCCCCCCAGCUUCUCCAGCCCAGAGGGCUCCUCCAGCAGUGAGGACACAGCAGGUAAGAGGCUGGGUGCCUUCAAGGUCUCAGGGUCAGGACUUCACCUGAGCUUUGACCUGAGGGCUUUGGGUGUGGGAGGUACCAGACCUGCCAGUGAGAGUGACUUCCACAGCCUUUUGGGUGGCGAUUUUAGGCAAAGAGAGUAUGUGAACCAGACUUGGAAAAGGAGGAAAAGCUCGAUGGUUACUGUGCCCAGCAUUGAUGUCCACUUGAAUGCCCAGCACCAGUAAGUCAGUUCAGGACGAGUGCCAUCUGCAGCUUCUGUGUCCUCUCUCCCCUCACCCACCCCCAGAGGCCCAAGCUGAUGUUGACACCCAAGUCCAGCCGCCUCCUCCCUUGGGCUGCGGUUCUGAGCCUGGUUGGGUCGCCCCACCCAGCACUACUGUGAGCAUCCCUGACCCUGGUCCCUCGUUUGGGCGCCUGGCCAGGGCCUAUCCAACUGGACAGUCCUGCUCAUUGAUGCAGCUCUGGUUUGUCCCUGGGCCAUGUGUGCUUGUCAUGAGGACAAGAAGGUGCCCAGAAAUCCCGAGAACCACUCUGCCGAAAGGGCCCCAACGGCAAGUGCAGGCUUCAAAUUCUUACACUUAGGGUUUUUAGGAAUGGGUAGGAGGGUUACACAAGAAGGCAGUAAUGUUAGCAAACCUAAACAAUACUGUUGGACCUUGUUCUAGGACCUCCCUUACUAUGUUCAAGUCACUUAAAUACCAAGCUGCAGCUUCGGGUGGAGAUAGGACGUGCUCCUCCUGCCCAGGAUGUUUGGCAUCUUCCUGCACAUGUGGCGCUGCGUGUCCUUCUCAAGAAACAGGAAACCUUUAGCCUGAGCUGAGAAUGGCCCAUGUGUAUAUGCCAAAAGGAAACUGCCCUUCUUGGCAGCCUCUCCUCACAUGCUAAGCAGCCUCAUUUAGCAAGCAAGCUCACUGCUCUCUGUCUUGGCACAUCUGUAGGAUGCUGCCCUGUGUGAAGGUCAUGAUCAGGAUCCCUCUAGGGCAGCUGGGACAGUAAGUCAUGUCUGUCCACAGAACAUACCAACUCCCAGCCAUCUUGGGAGGAAUUGGCUUGUGUGUCCUGGGGAAGAGGUGGGGUGGCUCCUGGUGAGACACUCUGCAGACUGGGAGCUGGUGGUUAGGAGACACCAUGCCUUUCCUGCAGAUACUGAGACAUGCUCCUGAGUAGCUGACAAGAAAGCUGACAGGCCAUUUAACUUCCAGAAGAAAAUGACAUUGUCCCCAGUGCAACAUCCAUCCCCUGGGCUCUCACGUGCUGCACACUGGCCAGCUGCUGACGUGCUGGGCUCCAUGCUCUGACUGGCUCUUCUGCCAUAACAAGUCUCUGAUAUGUGACAAGAGGUGCUGGGUGGGUCACCCCUACCUGAGAGGUUGGUUUGAGGCCCACUGGGUUAGGCUUAGGGUGCCUCCCAAGGACAUGGUCUUCCUGUCUCUGUGCUCUGGGAAAUGUCACUUGGAAGUUCACUUGUAUGUUCAGUUUCUAGUGUAGGUUAAUUUAGGGCACAGAGUGUUCUUUUCUUUUUAGUUUUUUUUAAACUAUUAUUACAGUUUUGUUUUUUAUGCACUGUGCAUUCACCGAUGUUUAUCUAAAAAUUCAGGUGAAAAAAAAUUCAUUUUAGAGUUCAGUACUAGAAAAAUGUAUUUGCUUUUGUGAACUGUUAUACUCUUCUUAUCGUAUAAGAGAUGUGUUACUUAUUUGUACUUUUUGCUUUGGCUACCAGGAAGCUCCAGUCUCAGCUGCUUAUUGUUUUAUUCAAUUGCUUUUGUUUUCCUGGACUUCUGUUUUCUGAGUGAUACUUUUCCCCACCUCUCAAUUGCCUAACUCCUAUUUAUUUACUUUACUUACUUUUUUUUCAUUCAAUAAUACAUUCAUUCAUUAUUUAUCUAGUAUUAUUUCAGUUAUCCAGAUAUCUAAAAACAGUCAUUCUCCAGCAAUUAAAAAUAGAAAUAAGAUGUAUUUUUUGCUUUGUAAUUUAUUUAUUUAUUUAUUUAUUUAUUUUUGGUCUUUUUGCCAUUUCUUGGGCCGCUCCCGUGGCAUAUGGAGGUUCCCAGGCUAGGGGUCCAAUCGGAGCUAUAGCAGCCGGCCUACACCAGAGCCACAGCAACACAGGAUCCGAGCCGCGUCUGCGACCUACACCACAGCUCAUGGCAACGCCAGAUCGUUAACCCACUGAACAAGGGCAGGGAUCGAACCCUCAACCUCAUGGUUCCUAGUCAGAUUCGUUAACCACUGUGCCACGACGGGAACUCCUGCUUUGUAAUUUAAUCAAAUAAACUUCCACGCUGCCCUACCCAGCACUUACAUUGCUUGUUUUGAAUUUAAGAUUUAAACUUCUUACUGGAAUCUUAGUUAUACAGCUAGGGUAAAAGCUAUUACAUCUGCUAUCAUAAAACUCAAAAGAAAAAUCUUAAAUUGUUUUUAACAUUUCACAUUCUAUUUCAGGACAUAGAUAGAGAGAGAGAUAGAUGGAUAGAUAGAUGGAUAGAUAUUUUUAAUUUAUUUUCUUUGUAGGGCUGCACCCACAGCAUAUGGAAAUUUCCAGGCUAGGGGUCCAAUCCGAGCUGUAGCUGCUGCCCUAAACCAUAGCCAACAGCAACGCCAGAUCUGAGCCACGUCUGUGACCUACACCACAACUCACGGCAACACCAUAUCUUUAACCCACUGAGUAAGGCCAGAGAUCAAACCCAUGUCUUCAUGUAUACUUCAUGUAUAUGGGUUCGUUACUGCUGCACCACCACGGGAACUCCAGGAUAUAUUUUUUAAAAACAGGCAAAAAUGUAAUGUAUUUUAAACAGAAGACAGAAUAUCUUCAAAACACUUUCUAAAGUAUUUUUAAAGUAGGUAUUAACUCCUAUUUAGAUUGAAACCUUGUAGUGUUGAUGUUGCCAAGCAGUGCUGGUGCCCUUUUUGGGGGUGAACCAGGUAAAUAGUGUCCAUUAAGAAGGGCCUGUGUGCUCAGGCUCUAGGAACACAAGGUAGGCAGGGGGCUCAGGACUCGUGCAGAGGGCUUCCAGUGUGCAGUCAUACCAGAUUCUGUCUGGUGAGUCACCUGGACACAACCAGCACCACCUAGGGUGCCAGGAGGGCCUCCAGAGACAUCGCAGUGCUCAGGAACAUGAGUGUUCCCAUGGGACAGCCGGCUCUGUGGCGCGGGCCCACCAUGAGUCACACUGAGAAUCUCAGGUCUGGACUUAGUGACUCAGGCAGAGCAGGCAAGGAGGGCCAGUGGGAGGGGCCAGCAUGGCCCAGCUCACAUUCAGUGACAAGGAGUAAAGUGUGGGCCGAAGAGAGCGGGUCCCACGUGGUAGCCUUUGGCAAGCAAGAUGGAGGGAAGUCACGGCUGUGCCGUGAUGGGCGUCCCUCUGCCAGGGCCUUGGUUCUGACCCCACAGGUGAAGGUGGAUGAGAGACUGGUUUCAGGGGCAUUCUGUCUGCCCCCUUUGCCUCUGACAUGGGGCAGGAGCAGCAGGAAGGUUUCUAACAGGUGGCAAGGGCUGUUGAAAGUCUUUUGUGAGCUCUGGAGCCAUGCAGUCUAAAGUACUGUCCCAAGAACUGUCUGAUGUACUCCAGAAAUUCGCAUUUCAUACGAGGCAUCUUCUGAAUCUGAUUACGGUGGCUUCCACCUGGGUCGUCUUCAGGGGCUCCUUCCCGGUCAGAUGGGGUCUCAGACCCACCCUCCAGGACCUGGAACUGAUGGCCCCACCAACACCCCCUGUGGGAGCUCCUGGCCAUGGUGCUAAACACAUUGGGAUGGUGUCAUCAGCCAUUCACACACCACCUCCCAGAAGCCCCACAAGAUUGACAGAAUGCGUCUUCUUUGUGCGCUGUACUGUCAGUCCACAUGGAGAACUGAAUACAGUUGUGCAUUUCACUGUUAAGAGUUGGAUAUUUCAUAAACUGGUUUUCUUUUGGGGUGAAACUGUUUCAUUCUCUUAACUGAUAUGUUUUAACUGUAAUGGAAAUUGCUCCUCCCGUUUCUUUUGGGGAAGCUCUGCUCUUCCCCAGUAAUUCCUCUCUCUAAGCGGUGACACCUCAUUGCUCCCUACCCCUCCCAGUAUGGAUGGUGUAUACUUGGUCAGCUCAUUUUCUGUUUGCACGGGCAUCCUGCUGCCCCCAGACCUUAGUAGCCGAACCAAGAAUUCAGCCUCUCAACAGAGAGCAGUAAGCCCUAGUGCCCCUCUCCUUCCUCUCCUCAGGGCCAGAACUGCAGCCCUGGUCCCAGGCCUCAGUGUUGACCCCAACUACCAGUGAGCCAGCAGCAGUUCCACACAGUUGGGAACUAGGCAAUCUCAGUGCAGGACGGUCCUUGCACUUUUCACGGCCGCUACUUUCUGUACCAUAAUCCCCUUUUCUCCUUAACUGAAGUAAAGGUUCUUACUAGCCAUACUCCUCUGCCCCCUUUCCAACUUGCAGUGUCCUGUCACUUACGUGCAGGUGCUUGUCCUUGGAAAGCCGGGCAGCAUGUCACCUGGGCCAGAUCCCAUGCAGCCAGAGGUGCAUCCUCUCACUCCGAAGGGGCACUGUCCUCCUGCCAUCAUAGCAGCCCCUCAGCAGCUUAGAAGAGAUCCUUGUCUCACAAUGAAAAGAGCACAAGUUCCUACCAGCAGGUGAAGUUCUGGAGCCUCCACACAGAAACUGCACAUUUUACACACUCUACACAGAAGGAGGAGCCUCCGUCUUUAUAAACUAGAAAACAGGCCAACCUUUGGGAAAGAGGGCAUUUCCAUCACUGUUAUUGCCAUCUUUGUGUGUGUGGGGGGGGGUUGUUUGUUUGCUUUUUAAUGAGAGGUAUUUUGCUUUUCUUGACCACAGAAAUACUUAUAGAAAAGUCAGGCAUUGUGCAAGAUACGCAGGAAUUAAAACACCACCUGAGGCCACCAGCCCAAGAUUUCAGUAACAUAUUUAAAACCCUACCCUGUGCCCAUCUUAUAAGCACGUGCAAAUUUCAUAGCAGUUGUAUGAUGUUAUAUAUGCUGCAUUAUAAACCACUUUCCACACUUACUACGUUAUGGAGGUUUUUUUCCCAUUUCAGUGCGUAUAGAUAUAUCAUUUUUUUAAGUAGCUAACAUCUAUUUUAUAAAAGGAACUUGUUUCUUACUAGCCUCCCCUUCCCCGCAUUGAACAACAUUUAGAACUUAAACUCCCUUAUACAUACAUGCACUAGUCUGAUUACCUCCUGAAUAUAAAUUCUUGGAGUAUUAAGUUUAGGAGUACGUGUGUUUCUGAAUUUGAAGACAUACUAACAAACUGUCUUUCAGAAAACUGUUCAGUUUUCGUUUGUGAAGGCAAUCUAUGGAAAUUCCCUUUCUUCUACUGCCUGGACAUUUUCAGUCUUUUAAAUUUUAGCCAGUUGUUUGGGCAGCAUAUCUCUUACAUUUUCAUGUGAGCCUUAAGGAAAGUCUUUCUAAGCCUAAAAAUCUAAAUGACAGGUUUGACCUGUCAGUGCCUUUAUGGCAAAGGGCACUGAAAACAGGUUCAGAAGCAGAGGCAGGAGAGGUGGUACCUGUACCUUCUACAGUGGACAGAAGUUGGUUUCCUUACCAGGCAACUAGCUUCCGCAGGUCAGUAAGGAUGAGCACCAGAUGCAGCACCCGAAGGAAUAGGUGGCACAUGCCAGAACCUUGCAGGGCUCCUGUUUCCAUACUUCUGUGUGAAAUAUUUCACCCAUCUGACAUGUAUUUUGUUAGAACAAGGUGUAGAUCUAUCUUCAUAAAAUUCUCCUGUGAGCUCAGGACCCCCCCCCCCCCCCCCCCGCCCCUGCCUGCUGGGCCCCCAAGACUCCCAUCCACCCCUGUCAUCCAUGUACGAGUUGGUCCUGCCAAGGCCUUGCUCCACGCUGGUCAGUGCAGGUGUCUCAUUUGCUGACCUCACAUGUCUGUCUGAGACCUGCUACCCUUGCUGGAGCCCCCCUCCAGCCAGCAGGAUAGCAUCUGGCCCUGUGACGCCCUGGCCUCCGUCUAGCUUCUGCCCUCUGCCUGGUUGCCCCAGUGGGGGCCCUCCCUUCCUAAGUCCUCUCUUGGCCUCUGCCCCAGCCCCACCACUGACACGGAGGCACCCCCUCCCUUUGCCUUCCACCCCAUGCCUGAUUAUCUGUGCAAAUUCCUGCUCUUCUAGUCUCACCUCUGCCUCCUGGGAGACAGAGUCCAACUUGCCUGGUUGCAGAGUGUCAGUGUCAGUGCGAAGGGCCCUGGGUUUGCAGCCCUGCUGUUGACCUUGCAUGUGGUCUUCCUUACUUCUCUGGGCCUCAGUGUCCUUGUCUACCUAAUGUCGUAAUAAUCCUCGACUGGCAAACCCACACACUUGCUAUGUCGAUCAGACUGGGUUUAUUACAAAGCUUGUGCAAACGUGAGCACUGCCAGCUCUUAAUUCCCCGAGGCUCCAGUACCUGCUGGAGUUAAGUCUUCAGUCAAUGUUUGAUGAACCAUGUUGAGUAAUUAUUUAUAAAAACAGCCUAAAAGGAAGCACCAGUCCACUCUCCUUGUUCAUAAUCGCAAGUGGUUUGACUGUAUUGACAGGGUUUUUGUGUUCAGAUCAAGCUGCAAAGACAUUAAAAUCAAGUCAUUUUUAUGGAAAGCUAUUAUGAUUAUUAUUCUAAUGGCAAGUGCAAUUGAAAUAGUUAUUAACUCCGUGCCUUUUGGAAUUGUGAGCUAAAUGCACAGUUCUGGUAUGGCUUCGUCGUGAAUUAAACCUCUAUCCUCUCAAUGUGUUUUGACAGAUUUGGGCCUUAGUCUAAGGCAGAUGAGUUUUCAGCUCUUAUUGGCUCUGUCUGGCCUGAAGAAAUCCUGACUUGUGAUUUCUUUGAGGCGUCUCGGGUACAGAGCAGAGCAGGCCCUCUGAGCUCACCUGACUGAUAAGCAAGAUUUUCACCCAGUGCAGCCAGAGUCUAAGUAGAGCCCUCAGUGGCUCUCAGCUGAGGUCCUUUGACCAGGGCCACAUUCCACACACAUCACACUGGCUCAGGGGUGUGACACAAUCACAGUCAGAGUUGGCAGGUUUCAUUCUUGUCCUGAUGGAGCAUGUAAUUGUGUGCAGCCUUUCCUUUCUCACAGGGACUUGAGGGUAAGUGAGGGGCAGUGGAGGUGGGGUCAUCCUGAAUGGAGGGACCGUCAUGCCAUGCUCAGUCCAGGCAAGAACAAAGGCCAGACUUGGAAAAGACUUCAUGCAUUCUUAGAGCACCAAAAAAGGCCUGGGUUUUUUCUAAAAGACAGUCUAAAACUGUCUUAUAUGCUCAUGUUUUUUGUUUCUUUGGUAUCUGUUGGCACACACCUGAUACCUGGAUCCCUCCUGGUACAGUAGAGUGAGCCAGCAUAACUUUAGAUGUAUUUUUGACUUAAGGAGACGUGGCCAGAAAUUAAUUUUGAAAUAAUUCCCAGUAGAUUCUGCACAGUUUUCUAACAUGUCUUUAUUUAAAAAAAAAAACAAAAAAAA
rnacentral:lncRNA from 1 species